GAAGAUGUAGCUCAGGGGAGAGCACUUGCCUAGAAAGCACAAGGCCCUGGGUUCAAUCUCCAGUGCCUCCC
rnacentral:tRNA from 1 species